rnacentral:misc_RNA from 1 species
GAGAGCAUACAGCAAGCUGGGUAUAUAGAGGAACUACCUGGAGAGUAAGAGACUGAUAGGUUAGGUGAUUCAGGCAACACAGUGCAUACAAACUUGUCCGCAUUGGGAAUGAAUGGAUCUAAUAAAUUAGUAGUACUGCUUCUCAGCAGCAACUAUUAUACAUAUGAACAAGUUAUAAGCAUGCAACAGGCAAAUUUAAUUUAGACUGAACAAAUUGUAGGAAUCAAAAGAAACAAGAGCUCCAAAUAUACACAUAUAUACUCACCUGGGAAACAAGUACGUUAAUGCCUGCAUGCUUAGCAUCCCAUCCAAAUUCAGCGAAACUACCACCGCUAUACGUGACACCAUCUAUAUUUCUUACUAAGAUUUUGCUUAAAUGUUUUGCGUUAUCCACAACAUAGUUCCAGUAAUUAGGUGCCUUAGUGGCCCUAUAUAACCAUGCGGCUCCCCAGACCAAUUCAUCCUCGUAGCCACUGAAAUCACAGUAAAAUGGGCACACCCAUUGUCCAAGACUAACAUUGUAAGAUCCGCGGUAAGUAUCUGCAAAAUAAA